UAAUCCCACAAACGCUGGUGAGGUCAGUGUGAGUCCAGUCUUCCUGAUGGGGAAACUGAGAACCGUCAGUAUGGGGCCGAGCUAGGAUUCCAACUUCAGUCCUCACUGUUGAAAGGAUCCUGCAGAUACUCCACAACAGCGUGGAAGGAGGUCGUAGAAAGUGGGAUGAUGGAAAGUUCGAAAGAGAACUCAAAGGGAAAGAUUCGGGGAAAAGGUGGCAGAUGUUUGAAGGGAUACCUGAGCACCUGCUCUAGGAGAUGCAGGGUGACUGUUGCAGUAUGGUAGAGGAUGAAAAGCCUUAGGGUUGGGCCACAGGGCAAAUGGAAACAUCCAGUGGGAGUCUUGUCUGAUCCCUGUGAGGCCAUCUGUUCAAUUUGCACCAACCACCGGGACUUUGUUAAUGUUCUCCUUGGUUCUACCAUCACCUCCACAUUCAUUCUUUUUUUUUUUUUUAAUUUUUUAAAAAAUUUUUAAAAAUGUUUAUUUAUUUUUGAGAGAGAGAGAGACACACACACAGAGUGUGAGCAGGGGAGGGGCAGAGGGAGAGGGAGACACAGAACCCAAAGCAGGCUCCAGGCUCCGAGCUGUCAGCACAGAGCCCGACGCGGGGCUCGAACUCACGGACCGCGAGAUCGUGACCUGAGCCGAAGUCGGACACCCAACCGACGGAGCCGCCCAGGUGCCCCUACUCACUCUUAAUUAUAAGAAAAAAUUUGUUUUAAUUAGAAAAGUGUAUCAAGUAAUGAUUCUUUGCGGAAAAAAUUCUGCUUUUGAUUUUUUAUACAUUUUCCAGAAGCUUACUUAUGAGGAGUGUCAGCUCUUUAAGAAACAAACAAAACAACUUAGAAAAUAUUUUGAAAUAAAAUGAAUUUGGUCCCAAAGGCGCAGAUGAUGGAAGGACCUAGUGCCCACCCGUGGCACCCGUGUCAGCUCGACCCCGAUGACGUCACCCGCCUGAGGUGCUUGCACAAAAUGCCACGAUCUUAGUACUCAGCUGAGAGGGGCCCAAUGAAUGGAGAAGCACUGGCAGACCAAGUUCAGAAGUCUGGAUCCACUUUAUUGAUCAAGGAAUUUAAACCCAGUACAUCCGGAUUUUCUGCUCACCUGCGUUAAAGGGCUUCCAUCAGACUCAGUACGAAGAGAAGUUCAGAGAAGCUGGUUACAGCCCUGUUUUCAGAAACAAGAAAACAACAGAGUAAGACCAGCAUCCCACAAGCACGGUGCGGCAAUGCUUAGGAGUAAAUGCCAAACUCGAGACCUGCACAUUGGCUUUGUAUUUGAACUUCAGAUUGGAGCCAGAGGUUAGACCUUCUCAGCCUCUUCCUACAGCUGGUCAAGCUUCGUUUACAGCACACCUGACGACUAGACCCGAUGAUACACGGCAAAGAGCUGUACCUGUUCCCACAGGCUGGACAGGGCGGUGACAUCCAGAUAAAGGACAGGUGUCCUGAGGGAAGGCAUUUUGUCCUCACUGAUCACAGACCGACUGGGCUGGAAACUGGUUUCCCGUUGGCUCUUCGGCAAUUAUGACGAAGUGAUUUCCCAGGUCAGUCUUGGUUUCAGCAACGUUACAAAUAAAUGGGUCUGGAAGAACCGGAAUUUGAUAAUAACUGAAAACAAGUAAAGAGCAGUGAACACAGUUUUUGAUGCUUCCUAGAUUUCUUUCCAUCAGCUGCCCACAUUUACUCUUUAAACAGGCUUAUACAGCUCAUGCUAUUCAAUAAUUUUA